CUCCAUUUUCUCUCACAGGGCCAUUGUCCAGGAGGGUUAACGGCAUCUGCCUUCUACAGGGCUGUAGCCAACUACUUGCUACGUAGCCUGUAGAGAAGACAUGUGUGGAUCCCUAAUAUAUUUAUCAGCAAGGGUGGUUCACAAUAAUGAACAGCGUGGCGCAUCUCCUGGGAGAAGUAUUCCUUCCACACAGACUGGCACUGGGCAACUGGGAGACUGGACCUUCACUGAAAUGGCCAACAGGUUUAGCUGCUGAUGAAUAGGUGGUGAAAUCGUUACAGGAGCUAUUGUAAAUAAAGCACAGUUCUAGCUGAACAAACAAGGGAUUUUUCCAGGUUAACUUAUUACUCCAUGGUAUCUACUCCUCCUCAGGGAGCAGCAUUCGACCUACUCUAAGAGAGGAGUCCAGCCAAGCCCCCUGAUGCAGGCAACAUGGAUGCUAACAAGUUGGGGUCUGACCAUACUCCGGGGCAUGCAGAACAUGCCAGAUCUGUGGUUUAGCUGGCAGCAUGCUAGCCAGCCCUGAACGCUAGAUUGGAAUUGUGCCUUGGGACUGCUGAGCAGGAGGAGGGGAGAAAAGAGGAAAGGAAAUAAGGACCGGUAGAUUCCUGUCACUGCACAGGGCAGAGCCUCUCCUGCAAAGUGUGGGUCUACUCUGCAAAGAGACUAUGGAAAAAUAGCACCUUCUUACUUACAGCUCUGCUCCAGGGGUGAAAUGGAUCAUUGCGCAGCCAGUCAGCACUAGGCCUAUGAAUCACUUACGUCCCACUUAAGCCCAAUUUUGACCCUCAGAACUCCUCAGGGAACUUACACCAUGGAAGGGUCAGAUGUAACAGACCUUCUUUCUGCCACGCUCCCUCCCUUGCCCAGGCCCAGCCUGUGGUUCACCCCAAACAUCCUCUCCUUCCCUCCCACUGUGAGGGUGGGGGCUGCACAGGAACCCCCACCACAAGUGAGUUCCCCUUCAUCAGGAGAUGCUCCACUGGCUACACACAGUCGCUCAAGGCAAUCAUAUAGCUCCUGGGCCAAAUCCAGACCUCUGGAUGCUUUCGUCUUGCCUGCUGUUCAAAACAUCAGAGCAAUCUGGCCCUUGCUAGGACAUGUCUACCCUGCAGCUGGGAGGGACUCCAGUGAUCUGAGAUGAUGAUGCUGGCUUCUUUUCCCAGCAUCUUCCAAUUUUUCUAUGAGUUGUGCAAUCAGCCACUUUAGCAUUUGGUUCUCUUGUAGUGUGAGUCUGUCUCCUGCCUCAAUCACAUUCUGCUCCACUCAUUCCAAGUUUUUGUUUUUGGCCCUGCUCACUCUUAGCUCCUGGUUUGUUCAAACUCCCCCUUAACUUCUCCCAGUUUAUAAUCUCUUGAGUCCCUCAAAUUGGCCCUUAGCAAGGUCACAAAUCCAACCUUAUUUUCUACUGUGCAUUGGUUUUAGGAACUGCAUACUGGGAAGUAAACUCAGGUUUUCCAUUUGUUUAUAUCUGUCAAAAGGUCUUUCAGUAUAAUCUGUAGUGCUUCUGGUAUGCUCUCAAUAGCUCUGAGUACAUUGCAACAUCGCCAACUCAAAAUGUAAACAAAAUA
ensembl:lncRNA